GACGAACGCUGGCGGCGUGCUUAACACAUGCAAGUCGAACGGAAAGGCCCUGCUUUCGUGGGGUGCCCGAGUGGCGAACGGGUGAGUAACACGAGAGUAACCUGCUCUUGAUUUUGGGAUAACUUCAGGUAACUGGGGCUAAUCCAGGAUAGGAGCUCCCGCUGCAUGGUGGGGGUGGGAUAGUUUGGGCGGGUGGGGAUGGAUGGGCGGCUUAUCGGCUUGUUGGUGGGGUAGUGGUUUACCCAGUCUUUGACGGGUAGCCGGCCCGGGAGGGUGGCCGGGCACAAUGGGACUGCGGUAGGGCCCAGUCUGCAACGGGAGGCAGCGGUGGGGAGUAUUGCACAGUGGUAGGGAGCGUGAGGCAGCAACGCCGGGUGCGGGAUGACGGCCUUCGGGGUGUAAACCGCUUUCGCCUGUGACGAAGCGGGAGUGACGGUAAUGAGUAAAGAAGCACCGGCUAACUACGUG
rnacentral:rRNA from 1 species